rnacentral:rRNA from 1 species
GACGAACGCUGGCGGCGUGCUUAACACAUGCAAGUCGAACGGUGAAGCCCUUCGGGGUGGCUCAGUGGCGAACGGGUGAGUAACACGUGAGCAACCUGCCCCUGGCUCUGGGACAACCACUGGAAACGGUGGCUAAUACCGGAUACGACCCGCCUCGGCAUCGAGUGUGGGUGGAAAGUUUUUCGGCUGGGGAUGGGCUCGCGGCCUAUCAGCUUGUUGGUGAGGUGAAGGCUCACCAAGGCGACGACGGGUAGCCGGCCUGAGAGGGCGACCGGCCACACUGGGACUGAGACACGGCCCAGACUCCUACGGGAGGCAGCAGUGGGGAAUAUUGCACAAUGGGCGAAAGCCUGAUGCAGCGACGCCGCGUGAGGGAUGACGGCCUUCGGGUUGUAAACCUCUUUCAGCUCCGAAGAAGCGAAAGUGACGGUAGGAGCAGAAGAAGCACCGGCUAACUACG